rnacentral:rRNA from 1 species
UACGUAGGGUGCGAGCGUUAAUCGGAGUUACUGGGCGUAAAGCGUGCGUAGGCGGUUUUGUAAGUUUGGUGUGAAAUCUCCCGGCUCAACUGGGAGGGUGCGCCGAAAACUGCAAGGCUGGAGUAUGGGAGAGGUAGGCGGAAUUCCUGGUGUAGCGGUGAAAUGCGUAGAUAUCAGGAGGAACACCUGUGGUGUAGACGGCUUACUGGACCAUGACUGACGCUGAGGCACGAAAGCGUGGGGAGCAAACAGG